AGUGGCGGACGGGUGAGUAACGCGUGGGUAACCUGCCUCAUACAGGGGGAUAACAGUUAGAAAUGACUGCUAAUACCGCAUAAGCGCACGAGGAUGCAUGUUCUUGUGUGAAAAACUCCGGUGGUAUGGGAUGGACCCGCGUCUGAUUAGCUGGUUGGCGGGGUAAAGGCCCACCAAGGCGACGAUCAGUAGCCGGCCUGAGAGGGUGGACGGCCACAUUGGGACUGAGACACGGCCCAAACUCCUACGGGAGGCAGCAGUGGGGAAUAUUGCACAAUGGGGGAAACCCUGAUGCAGCGACGCCGCGUGAGUGAAGAAGUAAUUCGUUAUGUAAAGCUCUAUCAGCAGGGAAGAAAAUGACGGUACCUGAGUAAGAAGCCCCGGCUAACUACGUGCCAGCAGCCGCGGUAAUACGUAGGGGGCAAGCGUUAUCCGGAUUUACUGGGUGUAAAGGGAGCGUAGACGGCAGUGCAAGUCUGGAGUGAAAGGCGGGGGCUCAACCCCCGGACUGCUCUGGAAACUGUACGGCUGGAGUGCAGGAGAGGUAAGUGGAAUUC
rnacentral:rRNA from 1 species